UGAAUCUUUUAGCCUUACAAUUUCUUUGGA
rnacentral:piRNA from 1 species